CCACCGCAAACGACUGCCUUAUACCAGAUUCACUAUCUGCCACGUCAUAAUCUGUGUUGGUAAAACCUGGGCCCUUUUGAAUCAGCAGAGGGAGCCAACUUCAGUUUUGACUUCUCCCUGCGGUUUAAGAAUUAGCUGACUUCUAAAAGUUCAAAUGUAGAGGCGACUAUUUGAAGGCCAUUUAUUCGUUCCUAGGAUUGACAAUGUGGGCCUAGAGGCACAAAACAGCCACGAGAAUCUAAAGACAUUCUUUGAAGAGUUUGUGGCAGCUCAUCCUUUGCAGAGGCCGCAGAGGUCAGGCAACAGGAGUCUAGAAGUGAAAGUUGGCCUAGAAAGAAAUCCAACAUAAUCACUAAGUAUGUUGCCCUCAUUGAGGGAAAGGAAUGUGCUUACAACGCAGCAGACCCUCAAUGUCGUUGAACGUGUGAAUACUGCUGGAUUUUUCCGACACCGGUAUCUGCCUCUUAGACUUUUCCCUGUAGGCUCGGCUGCCUGAAUGGACCUUUAUCUGCAGGCCACCAACUAGACUUGACGUUCUUCUAGACUUACUUCAUUCCACUUGAAUUUCCACCCCCGUAAUUGGCUUUCCUGGAAGAGCAGCUCACUUUUCACUUCUGUACUCUACCUAGAUUGGCAUCUAAGGCUUUACCUGGACCAUGACUUAAGGUAGCCGUCUUUCCAUCUCCGGACUGAUAUGUUGGUUUCCUUUUCUUCUGAUUCAUGCUUUUAUAUGCUGGCCCUUAUAGUUAUAUCCCCUGACUUUAUGUACAUAUAGCCAUAUUUUAACCUAUAUCAAAAGUGUACCUACAUUUGGCCUGAGGCUUGCCCUCUCUCAAUCAUUUCCAGCCUGCCACUUCUGAAGAAUUGGGUUUGCUUCACUGGUUUAUGAGACAUACACAUUUUCUUUUAUGAUCAUCAUUACUCUCUCCAUAUAUGCCCUUCCAAGAGGUUCCUCCAGGCCCUUUAAAACUUGAUCCUAUAAUUACCGUAAGCCUCUCUUGUACCCUGGUCAUUUUGCCUAACUAUAAGAUUUAAAAUAAGCCAGGUAAUUAGCUGAGUGGAAAUUAAUAUGUAUUGUUCACUCUUUGUUUAAAAAAAGUAAAAAUGUCUAAUAAAUAUCCAAACUGAAUAUUAAAUAACAUUUUAUGUAAGUGGUCAUAUAAUUUUCUUCUUUAUCCUGUUCAUGGGAUGAAUUACACUGAUUUUCAAGUAUAAAUCAGUAUUAUAUUCUUGGAAUAAACCCAGCUUGGACAUGAUGGAUCAUCCUCUUAUAGCUAAACUUGGUUGAUAAUAUUUUGUUUUGGAUUUUGGUAUUUAUGUUCAUAAGAGAGAUUGGUCUGCACCUUUCCCUUCUGCUACUAUCGUUGUCUAUUUUUGGUGUUAUGGUCAUGAAGGUCUGAUGAAGUACAAUUGGAGUAUAAAUACUCCAGCUCUCUUGAAAUUUGGGUGAUAGACAGGAGGUAUUGCAGAUUUCCCCUGUGGACUCAGGCUUUGGAUAAUCCCAGUGGCAAAAAAAAAAACCCCACAAAAAACAAAAAAUAAAAAACAAAAAAAACCACACACAACCAAAAACCAGCUCUUUUUUGUCUGCCUUCCCUUCCUUGUCUCACUUCCCCACUACCCUACCAAUGUUUCCUCUAAUCAUCCCUUACACUCAAAUCAUUCUCUUGGAAUCUGCUUCUGAGAGGAACAUAAACUAAGGAUUGUGGGCUCUCAAUUCCCGACUGUUUUGGUAGCUUCUGAAUGCCUUCAAAAAGAUGUGUGGUGAAUUCUACCCAACUUUUCUAGUUGUUCUUGGUGACAGAGUUGGUUGAGUAUAAUCUAGUCCAUAGUGGCUGAAAACAGAAACACUUAAUGAUAUUGUAUUUAC